rnacentral:lncRNA from 1 species
AAAUAAAUAGAUUAGGGGCUGUUUGGUUCCUUGUAAAACUACAGGAAAAAAAUUUUCGGUAGAAAAAAAUUUUUGGAGGAAAAUAAAUUUUACGGUUUAGUGUUUGGUUUGUAGUAAACGAAAAGUAGUUUUUCAUUACGGUUGUUUGGUUGAAAGGAAAAAAAAGAAAAAGAAGAAAAAAAAUUAGUUACAAAUAAAAAAUUAUUAUUAUAUAUAUAUAUAUUUAUUUAUUUUAUAUAAAUAAAAUAUUAUAUAUAUAUAUAUAUAUUAUAUAUAUAAAAAU